GGCAUGGUGGCCAAGUGGUAAAGUGCUUGGCUUCUGAACAGGGGGUCCCAGGUUUAAAUCCUGGUGAAGACU
rnacentral:tRNA from 1 species